rnacentral:lncRNA from 1 species
CUAAUUCUGAAUGACCUGAUGUUAAGAAACAGGAAACGCUGCUUCUUCUGCAAGUUGCUAAAAGACAUAAAGGUGCAUAGGACAGUGCAUUGCUGGAGACAGUUUGCAAGGAGAUGCAAUUAAAUGUGAGUUUGAUGAUACACAAUGUACUGGACCAACAUUAAAAAGACUUCCUCGUGUUUGACUGUUUACCAGUUUUGUCUUUAAAUAAUAGUCUUCUUUUGGCAUGUAAUGUAUAUCUGCUUGCACUAAACAUAAUUUAUGAAUAUUUUAACACAUGUGUACUCAGUGGGGUGUAUUAUCAUACUGAUAUAAAUAGAAUUAAUGAGCAGUCAACCUGCCACAUGUCAUGACAUAUGACAGGGCAGCCAGAGCAUGGGAAUAAUUCUUUCUGUUUCAUAUUAAAGCUUCUUUUCCCAGUUGAAUUUUUGUUCCCAGAUGCCAACAGACC